rnacentral:rRNA from 1 species
AACCGGAUUAGAUACCCUGGUAGUCCACGCCCUAAACGAUGUCAACUAGCUGUUGGGGCCUUCGGGCCUUGGUAGCGCAGCUAACGCGUGAAGUUGACCGCCUGGGGAGUACGGUCGCAAGAUUAAAACUCAAAGGAAUUGACGGGGACCCGCACAAGCGGUGGAUGAUGUGGAUUAAUUCGAUGCAACGCGAAAAACCUUACCUACCCUUGACAUGUCUGGAAUGCCGAAGAGAUUUGGCAGUGCUCGCAAGAGAACCGGAACACAGGUGCUGCAUGGCUGUCGUCAGCUCGUGUCGUGAGAUGUUGGGUUAAGUCCCGCAACGAGCGCAACCCUUGUCAUUAGUUGCUACGAAAGGGCACUCUAAUGAGACUGCCGGUGACAAACCGGAGGAAGGUGGGGAUGACGUCAAGUCCUCAUGGCCCUUAUGGGUAGGGCUUCACACGUCAUACAAUGGUCGGGACAGAGGGUCGCCAACCCGCGAGGGGGAGCCAAUCCCAGAAACCCGAUCGUAGUCCGGAUCGCAGUCUGCAACUCGACUGCGUGAAGUCGGAAUCGCUAGUAAUCGCGGAUCAGCAUGUCGCGGUGAAUACGUUCCCGGGUCUUGUACACACCGCCCGUCACACCAUGGGAGUGGGUUUUACCAGGAGUAGUUAGCCUAACCGCAAAGGGGGCGAUUACCACGGUAGAUCCAUGACUGGGGUGAAGUCGUAACAAGG